GACGAACGCUGGCGGCGUGCUUAACACAUGCAAGUCGAACGGAAAGGCCCUGCUUUUGUGGGGUGCUCGAGUGGCGAACGGGUGAGUAACACGUGAGUAACCUGCCCUUGACUUUGGGAUAACUUCAGGAAACUGGGGCUAAUACCGGAUAGGAGCUCCUGCUGCAUGGUGGGGGUUGGAAAGUUUCGGCGGUUGGGGAUGGACUCGCGGCUUAUCAGCUUGUUGGUGGGGUAGUGGCUUACCAAGGCUUUGACGGGUAGCCGGCCUGAGAGGGUGGCCGGCCACAUUGGGACUGAGAUACGGCCCAGACUCCUACGGGAGGCAGCAGUGGGGAAUAUUGCACAAUGGGCGGAAGCCUGAUGCAGCAACGCCGCGUGCGGGAUGACGGCCUUCGGGUUGUAAACCGCUUUCGCCUGUGACGAAGCGUGAGUGACGGUAAUGGGUAAAGAAGCACCGGCUAACUACGUGCCAGCAGCCGCGGUGAUACGUAGGGUGCGAGCGUUGUCCGGAUUUAUUGGGCGUAAAGGGCUCGUAGGUGGUUGAUCGCGUCGGAAGUGUAAUCUUGGGGCUUAACCCUGAGCGUGCUUUCGAUACGGGUUGACUUGAGGAAGGUAGGGGAGAAUGGAAUUCCUGGUGGAGCGGUGGAAUGCGCAGAUAUCAGGAGGAACACCAGUGGCGAAGGCGGUUCUCUGGGCCUUUCCUGACGCUGAGGAGCGAAAGCGUGGGGAGCGAACAGGCUUAGAUACCCUGGUAGUCCACGCUGUAAACGGUGGGUACUAGGUGUGGGGUCCAUUCCACGGGUUCCGUGCCGUAGCUAACGCUUUAAGUACCCCGCCUGGGGAGUACGGCCGCAAGGCUAAAACUCAAAGGAAUUGACGGGGCCCCGCACAAGCGGCGGAGCAUGCGGAUUAAUUCGAUGCAACGCGUAGAACCUUACCUGGGUUUGACAUGGAUCGGGAGUGCUCAGAGAUGGGUGUGCCUCUUUUGGGGUCGGUCCACAGGUGGUGCAUGGCUGCCGUCAGCUCGUGUCGUGAGAUGUUGGGUUAAGUCCCGCAACGAGCGCAACCCUUGUUCACUGUUGCCAGCACGUUAUGGUGGGGACUCAGUGGAGACCGCCGGGGUCAACUCGGAGGAAGGUGGGGAUGACGUCAAGUCAUCAUGCCCCUUAUGUCCAGGGCUUCACGCAUGCUACAAUGGCUGGUACAGAGAGUGGCGAGCCUGUGAGGGUGAGCGAAUCUCGGAAAGCCGGUCUCAGUUCGGAUUGGGGUCUGCAACUCGACCUCAUGAAGUCGGAGUCGCUAGUAAUCGCAGAUCAGCAACGCUGCGGUGAAUACGUUCCCGGG
rnacentral:rRNA from 1 species